rnacentral:rRNA from 1 species
UACGUAGGGUGCAAGCGUUAAUCGGAAUUACUGGGCGUAAAGCGUGCGCAGGCGGUUUUGUAAGUCAGAUGUGAAAUCCCCGGGCUUAACCUGGGAACUGCGUUUGAAACUACAAGGCUAGAGUGUGGCAGAGGGGGGUGGAAUUCCACGUGUAGCAGUGAAAUGCGUAGAGAUGUGGAGGAACACCGAUGGCGAAAGGCAGCCCCCUGGGGUCAAAGAUU